GACAGCUCUUAUUUUGGGUCCUGCCUCCCCAACAGCAGUCUGCAACUUGCCGGCAUCCGGGCAGCACAGCAAAGCUGAUGAGCAGAGGAAAGAGGUCCCUGAAGGCCAACUGCUCUCCCAGGGCGUUCCUUCCGGGCAAGUGGAGAGACACAGCUCCCGAAGAAGUCGGGACUGUUCUAGAAUCCCUGGAAAAGUCUGGGAGACAUUGGGCUCCACACGGACUAAUCUCUGAGCCUCAGGAUCCUCCUCCAUCAGAUGGAAGCAGCGCACACCUGGCCUCCACUUGCUCCCCAGUGUGCCCAGAUGUGAUUGCCCACCUGGGCGGCAGCCGCUUGCCUGUCGCCCCCACUAGGGACGUUUUCUCCUCAGUACCAGACGAAUCAGCUUCAGUUGUCGCGUCAGGGAGCCAAUGCACCACCAACUCAAAAUGACCCUGACCUUCAGUUUUGUCUGCAUGGAGGAGACGGGAGCCGACUAGGUAGGUCACAGGUG